UAGUUAAAUUUUUUUGUUUAAGCUCAUUUGCGUUGAGUUUCUCUUAUUUGCAAUUUAUUAAAUUCCAACAAAUGUUAACAGUCAAGUCCUGUGUUUUUUUUCUUUUAAGGACUAAUUGCUUUUUGGAUACAGUCAGCCUGAGAGGAAUGAAGAGUUAAUCCCAUACGUCUCCCUGCUAAUUUCUCUAGCAGACCUCACACACAUAGAAGAAUUUGAGAAGAUCAGGAUGGUAAUAUCGACCAGUAUUAGACAAGUUUGUCUUCCCCAUGACCUGUGAGUCAAUAAAUCCCUCUUCUAGACUGAGCCAGUCCAAACUGGAUUUCUGACACAGGAUUGGGAGGAGAAUGGGACCCUCAUGUGCUACCGAGAAUGGUCAUGUGAUUUUUCUCAUGUGUAAGAUAAAUGUAAAUAAAAGAACCCCUGUUGUUAUUUUGUA